rnacentral:rRNA from 1 species
AGUGAACGCUGGCGGUAGGCCUAACACAUGCAAGUCGAACGGCAGCACAGUAAGAGCUUGCUCUUACGGGUGGCGAGUGGCGGACGGGUGAGGAAUACAUCGGGAUCUACUUUUUCGUGGGGGAUAACGUAGGGAAACUUACGCUAAUACCGCAUACGACCUACGGGUGAAAGCAGGGGAUCUUCGGACCUUGCGCGAUUGAAUGAGCCGAUGUCGGAUUAGCUAGUUGGCGGGGUAAAGGCCCACCAAGGCGACGAUCCGUAGCUGGUCUGAGAGGAUGAUCAGCCACACUGGAACUGGGACACGGUCCAGACUCCUACGGGAGGCAGCAGUGGGGAAUAUUGGACAAUGGGCGCAAGCCUGAUCCAGCCAUACCGCGUGGGUGAAGAAGGCCUUCGGGUUGUAAAGCCCUUUUGUUGGGAAAGAAAAGCAGCAGGUUAAUACCCCGCUGUUCUGACGGUACCCAAAGAAUAAGCACCGGCUAACUUCGUG